UGGGGAAUUUUGCACAAUGGGGGAAACCCUGAUGCAGCGACGCCGCGUGAUUUAGAAGGCCUUCGGGUUGUAAAAAUCUUUUCUAUGGGAAGAAAAUGACAGUACCAUAGGAAUAAGGACCGGCUAAUUACGUGCCAGCAGCCGCGGUAAUACGUAAGGUCCGAGCGUUGUCCGGAAUCAUUGGGCGUAAAGGGUACGUAGGCGGGUAAGCAAGUUAGAAGUGAAAUCCUAUAGCUCAACUAUAGUAAGCUUUUAAAACUGCUCAUCUUUAGGUAUAGAAGGGAAAGUGGAAUUCCUAGUGUAGCGGUGAAAUGCGCAGAUAUUAGGAGGAAUACCGGUGGCGAAGGCGACUUUCUGGCCAUAACCUGACGCUGAGGUACGAAAGCGUGGGUAGCAAACAGG
rnacentral:rRNA from 1 species